UCCUACGGGAGGCAGCAGUGGGGAAUUUUGGACAAUGGGCGAAAGCCUGAUCCAGCAAUGCCGCGUGAGUGAAGAAGGCCUUCGGGUUGUAAAGCUCUUUUGUCAGGGAAGAAACGGUGAGAGCUAAUAUCUUUUGCUAAUGACGGUACCUGAAGAAUAAGCACCGGCUAAMUACGUGCCAGCAGCCGMGGWAAU
rnacentral:rRNA from 1 species